CGUGCUGGCGUCGGGGAGCCGGCGUGAUGACGCGUGGUGGACGCUAGCUAGCCUGCGGUUGCGUGGCUGUGGAGGCCGAGCCUGAGGCCUGGGCCACGGCCAACGGGGACCACGGAGCCGCCGUCGUGUGGGCUCGAUGGGCUGAAAGGCUGUGUGACUAUAAAUUAUAACAGAACAUGAUGGUUGGCGUGGACUCGGUGGGCCGAAGGGCGUGUUUCCACAAUGUAUCUCUAAACUAAACAAUGAACAAUUGGAAGUCCAGGGAAUAAAAACCCGUUCAAGAGUGUAGUGAACAUUUCCACACUCAAUAAUACGACACAUCUUCAGAUGCUGAGGUUAAGACCAAAGACUCGUUGGAUGCUACACACAGAAGUAAUCAAUGUCCUUUCUGAAGUUCUCUGCACAAAUCUUUUUAAAAAUAAAUUCUCACAUUCAUUCCAACUGGAACUCAAGCAGUAAUGAAAA